rnacentral:rRNA from 1 species
UGAGGAACAUGACCUUCGGCGGGGGAUAGCCGGCCCAACGGCCGGGUAAUACCGCGUACGACCACAUGGGGACAUCCCUGAGUGGUGAAAGCAGCAAUGCGCCGAUGGAGUGCCUCGCGGCCUAUCAGCUAGUUGGUGAGGUAACGGCUCACCAAGGCGACGACGGGUAGCUGGUCUGAGAGGGUGACCGGCCACACGUGGGACUGAGACACGGCCCAGACCUCCGUACGGGGAGCAG